rnacentral:ncRNA from 2 species
GUAUAAUGCCCACCGUUUGGUGCCCGGGCGCGAACUCUCGCGCCCAGUUAAACGGGAAACACAAGCCGCAUCGCGGCCAAGGUGUGCUGCCCCCGCAACGGUAAGCAAGCGCCGUCUUCCGACGGCAGGCCCUCUCUCAACAACCACUGUGCAUCUGGCAUGGGAAGGUGGGAUGGUCCGACUUGCCAGCCCGGAUACCGGCCAGACAGGUGGAAGCGCG